GACGAACGCUGGCGGCGUGCCUAAUACAUGCAAGUCGAGCGAACAGACCAGGAGUUUGCUCCUCUGACGUUAGCGGCGGACGGGUGCGUAACAUGUGGAUAACCUACCUAUAAGACUGGGAUAACUUUGGGAAACCGGAUCUUAUACCGGAUAAUAUAUUGAUCCGCAUGGUUCACUAGUUAAAUUCGGUUUUUCUGUCUCUUAUAGCUGGAUCCGCGCCGCAUUAGCUAGUUGUUUAGGUAACGGCUUACCAAGGCGACGAUUCGUAGCCGACCUGAGAGGCGGAUAGGCAACACUGGAACGGGAAGACGGUCAAGACUACUGCGAGAGGGAGAAGUAGGGGAUCUUCCGCAGUGGGCGAAAGCGUGACGGAGCGACGCCGGGUGAGUGAUGGAGGUCUUCGGAUCGUGAGACUGUGUUAUGAGGGAAGAACAAAUGUGUAAGUAACUAUGCACGUCUUGACGGUAACUGAUCAGAAAGCCACGGCUAACUACGUG
rnacentral:rRNA from 1 species